rnacentral:lncRNA from 1 species
GCCAGAGCGAAUUUAGGCACCAAAACCGCGGCCAGAAGCUCCCUGUUCUGGUCUCUGUAGGUUCGCGUUGGAAAUGGUUGAUCUCUUUUAGCAGAAAAAAGGCAAGCAACCAAGCAAGCAGGUGGCCCCAUGGCCCCCAUCCCAUCUGAUCUGGGGAACACAAGACCCUCGUCUAGUGCAGGGGGGGACGGUGGUCCAUCGCGUGGAAGGGUCCCUCCCUCGGCGGGAGAUUCAAAAGCUCCUUGUACGGUAAAGCCCAAAUCAAUGGCUUUGGCCUUUUAUUUUUUUUAUUAGAAAUUUCAUAAGAUUUUGCUUUUCGAAUUUUAAAAUAGGAAUUAAAAAAAAAUAGGUAAUUGGAAUAGGAGGAUCUCAAAGCUAUGACCGGCCGGAGGCGGACCGGAAAGCUCUUCCCCCAUUAGCCUUUUGAUGAAAUUAGUAUAUAUUUUAAUUAAUUCCUUAAAUCCGUGAAUAUUUUUUUAUUACUAUAUAUGUUUAUUCCGUCUACAGGCUUUCCCGCCUUUUCUUUAUCCCACUUCCACCCGUGCUGUCCUCUUCGGCAGGCGAGCAGGUCACGUUGCCCCACCCCCUGCACACCUUUUUCUAUUUCCUAUUUAUUUUAUUUUCUCUCACAUAUAUUGUAAGUAUAAAAUACUUUCUCGGUUUUUGGCGGGAUGGAUGAUUAAACCGGAUUUAAUGGCACGGAGUGGCGUCCGGGAGACUGGGAGCGACAGCUGCCGUUAAGUUGCCGACAGAAAGCGACGGUCGUCGACACAGACGGAGGAAAGCGGACGUUUUUUGCGUCUUACGGGAGAGCGAUCAGCUAGUGGUCUUGGCACUUGGCAGCGUCGGUGGGGAACCGGAUGCCGGAGACCCAGGCGGAGGGCAUCUUUGGUCUCCGGCGUCCGGUUCCCAGGCGGCGCUGCCAAGGGCGGCGUUUUUUUUUUUUUUUUGCUUUUUAAUGAAGAACGGCGACCUAACGGAGGAAGGCGGACGUACCAGCUUCUCCACAACCGCCACAGCAGCACCGCCAUGGAUUCAGAUUUCGAUUUUCGUGAACGAGUACAACGGUGAGUUCACCCGGGGAUGAGAUUUUGCGGACAAUCCGUUGCAACGGAACGGGGCCUUCCGGAAUCCUAGGAUUCUGGUGGGUAUGGUACUGUGUUUAAUUAAUUGGAGUUCAGUGGUGAGACAUGUCCACCUGUCAUGCACGACAUUCCGUACCGACGUGGCGGUUUCAGAUCUUUUUCGCGCCGGAAACCGGAUUCUAAUUUCCCCCCUACACGUCAAUGACGUGUCUGGGCCUUUUUAUACGAACAAAUAAUAAUGGCCUUUUUAUACGAACAGAUCUUUUUAUUUGUAGUGAUAUAUUUUCCACUCCCAGUUUGUUGAUCUAACUGCUGAUUAACGAAUUAAUUAGAGAAGAAUGGACGGUAGUUUAAGCAACCGGAGGAGAAAAUAGCAAGCCAGUGGCAUCUUUUGUCGUUGGCUGGUUAAUUUUUCAGCUCUUUCUGGACACGGACCUCUUAUCAAAAUUUAAAAUCUUUAUUAGUAGUUGAAAUCAUUUCACGUUUUUUAUUGUAAAUUAUUAUAGUGGAAAGACGAUCUCGUCCUUGCCAUCAUGAUUUAUGACGCUCAAGAACAAAGGGCAGAUACGUCAAGUUGCCAAAGCGUAUAUAAUUAUUAAGAAUUAACAAAGGGAAGGAGGUAGGGUUGCGUGGAAACGCGACGGAUGGCAGAUAGCAGAGGGAGCGGAAAUAGGUGCUUGCUAGGGUUUCGCUUUUCUACCUUUCCUCUUUUUUUGGUUUCUUAACCCAUAAUAAUUCGCCAUAUUCUCUUUAUAACAGGGAACACUUAGCCCACUACUCAAAUUGCUACCGUCGAUCGACAUCCCUUCUCCGCUUCACCUCGCUCUCUCUCUCUCUCUCUCUCU